GGGCGAAAGCCUCGACGGAGCAACACCGCGUGAGGGAUGAAGGCCUCUGGGCUCGUAAACCUCUUUUAUCAAGGAAGAAGAUCUGACGGUACUUGAUGAAUAAGCCACGGCUAAUUCCGUGCCAGCAGCCGCGGUAAUACGGGAGUGGCAAGCGUUAUCCGGAAUUAUUGGGCGUAAAGCGUCCGCAGGCGGCCCUUCAAGUCUGCUGUUAAAAAGUGGAGCUUAACUCCAUCAUGGCAGUGGAAACUGUUGGGCUUGAGUGUGGUAGGGGCAGAGGGAAUUCCCGGUGUAGCGGUGAAAUGCGUAGAUAUCGGGAAGAACACCAGUGGCGAAGGCGCUCUGCUGGGCCAUCACUGACGCUCAUGGACGAAAGCCAGGGGAGCGAAAGGGAUUAGAUACCCCCUGUAGUCAAGGGCGAAUUC
rnacentral:rRNA from 1 species